GAUGAAGAACGCAGCGAAAUGCGAUACUUGGUGUGAAUUGCAGAAUUCAGUGAAUCAUCGAAUCUUUGAACGCACAUUGCGCCCCUUGGUAUUCCGAGGGGCAUGCCUGUUCGAGCGUCAUUACACCACUCAAGCUAUGCUUGGUAUUGGGCGUCGUCCUUAGUUGGGCGCGCCUUAAAGACCUCGGCGAGGCCACUCCGGCUUUAGGCGUAGUAGAAUUUAUUCGAACGUCUGUCAAAGGAGAGGAACUCUGCCGACUGAAACCUUUAUUUUUCUAGGUUGACCUCGGAUCAGGUAGGGAUACCCGCUGAACUUAAGCAUAUCAAUAAGCGGAGGA
rnacentral:misc_RNA from 1 species